GUGAGGAAUAUUGGACAAUGGGCGCAAGCCUGAUCCAGCCAUGCCGCGUGCAGGAAGACGCAUCUAUGGUGUGUAAACUGCUUUUGUACGGGAAGAAACACUCCCUCGUGAGGGAGCUUGACGGUACCGUAAGAAUAAUGAUCGGCUAACUCCGUGCCAGCAGCCGCGGUAAUACGGAGGAUCCAAGCGUUAUCCGGAAUCAUUGGGUUUAAAGGGUCCGUAGGCGGUUUAAUAAGUCAGUGGUGAAAGCCCAUCGCUCAACGAUGGAACGGCCAUUGAUACUGUUAGACUUGAAUUACAAGGAAGUAACUAGAAUAUGUAGUGUAGCGGUGAAAUGCUUAGAUAUUACAUGGAAUACCAAUUGCGAAGGCAGGUUACUACUUGUGGAUUGACGCUGAUGGACGAAAGCGUGGGGAGCGAACAGGAUUAGAAACCCUAUUAGUCC
rnacentral:rRNA from 1 species